UUUCACGAGCGGAAAGUUCACCCACUGAUGGAUGUUCUGAUUUUACAGCCAAUUUUAUAUGAGUCCUUUCAAUAUUCAUAAGUAUGCAAGUUAAUGGUUUUUCUACCUUAAAAGAAUUGCGAUUGAUAGUUUGGUUCUUAAAAUCUGAAAGGCCUCACCAACACGAAGAACGGUGCCCUUAUUCGUAACGUGGGAAAAAAAGAUAAACUUUCUAAUAACUACUGAACGAACUCGGAAUUAUUUAAAUAAAGCCAAAAUAAAAAAAAAUGUUAGGUUGAUAUCACCGUAUCCGAACUUUGUAAUUGUAGACGUUAAAAUGAGGUCCAAGAGCAAGUUUU